AAUUCAGGAGAUCACCCUCUUGCUUGUGUCCCCUCAAUGCCCAACCCUACUACUCCACAGGAAAAGAAACUCUCCAACCAUUACUGGGGGAAAGCCUUUAACUCCAUCAUCAGAGAUCAAGCUACAAAAGGUCAAUUUGUGGAGGUUAACAUCUUAACGAUGUUGAGUCUUCUAAUUUAUGAUCAAUGGUAUGUUCCUAUUUACCAAAAUGUCCCAUUUGUCAAGAAAAAAAAGAAAAUUAAGAAAAAGUUUUCUCUAAGAAGAGUACAGUAACCAAGAUGUAUCAUAGGUUUCAGAAUCUUGGAAGUGCCGGCAGUAUCCUGAAUGCCUUCUUGAACACCCAUCCCCAACCUUCUUCUUGGCACUUGCUGUUCUGGAAUGCCUUCUCCACUUUUCUGGUAGAAUUCCUCAUGUUUUUAGACUUGGCCAGAUCUGGGUACCAACCUUCAACUCCCAUAGUAUUCUGUGCCAGCCCUUCACGCUACCUUGUCACUUUGUUUGCUCAUCUGUCUCCUCCAUUACUCCGGGUUCCUUGAGAGCAGAGAUUUUGUCAUUAAUGUUCAUGAAUCUAGCAAAAAAAAUGAACACAUGGUAAUAUCCCAAUGGAUGCUGGCCAAAUACAUGUAAAUAUAAGUAUCGGAUUGUAAUCAUCCCUUUUACAAUCAUCUUAAACAAUCAAUUUGAGUUUCUCACUAUAAAUGAGUCCUUUCCUAAAAUACAACUUUAUCCAUAAUCCCAAAUCACCAUGUCCUUCGAUAGUUGAUUCUUGAACAACACAGGUUUGAACUUUGUGGGUCCACUUAUA